rnacentral:rRNA from 1 species
UACGGGGGGGGCAAGCGUUGUUCGGAAUUACUGGGCGUAAAGGGCUUGUAGGUGGCCAACUAAGUCCGACGUGAAAUCCCUAGGCUUAACCUAGGAACUGCGUCGGAUACUGGAUGGCUUGAAUCCGGGAGAGGGAUGCAGAAUUCCAGGUGUAGCGGUGAAAUGCGUAGAUAUCUGGAGGAAUACCGGUGGCGAAGGCGGCAUCCUGGACCGGCAUUGACGCUGAGGAGCGAAAGCCAGGGGAGCAAACGGG